CCAAUAGCGUAUAUUAAAGUUGUUGCAGUUAAAAAGCUCGUAGUUGAAUUUCGGGAUCAAUGUUUCGGUCAUGCCGUUGGUAUGUACUGAUAUUAUUGGUUUCUCACCUUCUAAAGAACCGUAAUGCCAUUAAUUUGGUGUCACGGGGAAUUAGGACUGUUUCCUUGAAAAAAUUAGAGCGUUUAAAGCAGGCUCACGCU
rnacentral:rRNA from 1 species